AGUGAACGCUGGCGGUAGGCCUAACACAUGCAAGUCGAACGGCAGCACAGUAAGAGCUUGCUCUUACGGGUGGCGAGUGGCGGACGGGUGAGGAAUACAUCGGAAUCUACUUUUUCGUGGGGGAUAACGUAGGGAAACUUACGCUAAUACCGCAUACGACCUACGGGUGAAAGCAGGGGAUCUUCGGACCUUGCGCGAUUGAAUGAGCCGAUGUCGGAUUAGCUAGUUGGCGGGGUAAAGGCCCACCAAGGCGACGAUCCGUAGCUGGUCUGAGAGGAUGAGCAGCCACACUGGAACUGAGACACGGUCCAGACUCCUACGGGAGGCAGCAGUGGGGAAUAUUGGACAAUGGGCGCAAGCCUGAUCCAGCCAUACCGCGUGGGUGAAGAAGGCCUUCGGGUUGUAAAGCCCUUUUGUUGGGAAAGAAAAGCAGCAGGUUAAUACCCCGCUGUUCUGACGGUACCCAAAGAAUAAGCACCGGCGAACUUCG
rnacentral:rRNA from 1 species